rnacentral:rRNA from 1 species
UUGAACGCUGGCGGCAGGCCUAACACAUGCAAGUCGAGCGGUAGAGAGAAGCUUGCUUCUCUUGAGAGCGGCGGACGGGUGAGUAAUGCCUAGGAAUCUGCCUGGUAGUGGGGGAUAACGCUCGGAAACGGACGCUAAUACCGCAUACGUCCUACGGGAGAAAGCAGGGGACCUUCGGGCCUUGCGCUAUCAGAUGAGCCUAGGUCGGAUUAGCUAGUUGGUGAGGUAAUGGCUCACCAAGGCGACGAUCCGUAACUGGUCUGAGAGGAUGAUCAGUCACACUGGAACUGAGACACGGUCCAGACUCCUACGGGAGGCAGCAGUGGGGAAUAUUGGACAAUGGGCGAAAGCCUGAUCCAGCCAUGCCGCGUGUGUGAAGAAGGUCUUCGGAUUGUAAAGCACUUUAAGUUGGGAGGAAGGGCAGUAAAUUAAUACUUUGCUGUUUUGACGUUACCGACAGAAUAAGCACCGGCUAACUCUGU